CCUCCCACUUUGAGUUACCAAAAGGGUAGUCGCUUAGUAGCUCGCUUAGUAUGUAGGCUUAAACUUAUUGUCAGUUCCUGAAUAACCUCGACAGUACAUGCGCUUAUUGUAGUGUUAAAUUGACGGGCUGAUUAUUGGGAAUUUUUUCUAUUUAUCAAGUGUGUUUAAAUAGUUUUGUUAUAUUUUUAAAAAUGGUUGGAUAUACGUGUAUUUGUGACGGGUGUUCAUCUAAGACGGGUCAAGGAAUAUCAUUUUUUAGAUUGCCAAAGGAUGAAGUAAGGAGUGAGCUAUGCUAUGGUUAACAGCUACUAAAAGACAAGAUUUGUUAGAGGAGGAUUUAACUAGAUACAGAAUUUGCGAAAAGCAUUUUGAAAAUAAAUUUUUAUGCUCAUAUUCACGAGGAAAACUCUUGUAUGCUUUGCCGUCAAUUUUUACCGAAUCUAAAGAUAUCUGCGCGAAUACGUCUGAGGAGCC
rnacentral:lncRNA from 1 species